UGGGGAAUAUUGGGCAAUGGGCGCAAGCCUGACCCAGCAACGCCGCGUGAAGGAAGAAGGCUUUCGGGUUGUAAACUUCUUUUGUCAGGGACGAAGCAAGUGACGGUACCUGACGAAUAAGCCACGGCUAACUACGUGCCAGCAGCCGCGGUAAUACGUAGGUGGCAAGCGUUAUCCGGAUUUAUUGGGUGUAAAGGGCGUGUAGGCGGGAAUGCAAGUCAGAUGUGAAAACUAUGGGCUCAACCCAUAGCCUGCAUUUGAAACUGUAUUUCUUGAGUGCUGGAGAGGCAAUCGGAAUUCCGU
rnacentral:rRNA from 1 species